GUCUACAGCCAUGCCACCCUGAACGCGCCCGAUCCUAUCUGAUCUCGGAAGCUAAGCAGGGUCAGGCCUGGUUAGUACUCAGAUGGGAGACCACCUGGGAAUACCAGGUGCUGUAGGCU
rnacentral:rRNA from 1 species